GAGAAUAGUGGGUGGGGAAGGGAGAAGAAUAAAGAGAGGGUGGCUGGGAGAGAUAGAAAGAUAGAAAUAGAGCUUGAUAUACUGAAAAGUGUGAAAAAAAAUGAAAAGGACAUUAAAAUUAUCAGCAAUCAACACAAUUUCAGGUCACUCUUUGAGAAUUUAACAAUAGCAGGAGAAUAAGAAGAUAAAUGACCUGGGAAAAUCAUGGGAGAGAAAAUGUCAGAUUCAGCAGCUGCAGCUUUUUAAAUCCUAUUAGGCAGAAAAAUUGAUCUGAAGACAUCAACGCACAAAUCCUCUUACCAUGAAUGAAAAGGGGAACCUUGAAGCAGUUUAAUGUACCUAGACAAAGACAUUAUUCUCCACAGACUGCACAAGGAGUGGGGAGAGCCCUGAUGAUCUCUUAUUUUACACGCUACACAUCACUCCAAUUUCAUCUCUCCAAGCAAUGAUGUUUUCAUUAUUUUUUGUGAAAUAGAAGAAGCCUUUCUACCUUUUUUGUCUAUUACUUGCUUCAUCAAGGUUAUCAGAGGUAUGUACAAGUAACCAUUG
rnacentral:lncRNA from 1 species